UGCCAGCCGCCGCGGUAAUACGGAGGGUGCAAGCGUUAAUCGGAAUUACUGGGCGUAAAGCGAGUGUAGGCGGCAACGUAUGUCGGAUGUGAAAGCCCCGGGCUCAACCUGGGAAUUGCAUUCGAAACUGCGUAGCUAGAGUUUGACAGAGGAAUGUGGAAUUCCGGGUGUAGCGGUGAAAUGCGUAGAUAUCCGGAGGAACACCAGUGGCGAAGGCGGCACUCUGGGUCAAAACUGACGCUGAGGCUCGAAAGCGUGGGGAGCAAACAGGAUUAGAUA
rnacentral:rRNA from 1 species